rnacentral:rRNA from 1 species
ACAAGCGGUGGAGCAUGUGUUUAAUCGAAGCAACGCGAAGAACCUUACCAGGUCUUGACAUCCCUGACAACCCGAGAGAUCGGGCGUUCCCCUUCGGGGGGACAGGGUGACAGGUGGUGCAUGGUGUCGUCAGCUCGUGUCGUGAGAUGUUGGGUUAAGUCCCGCAACCGAGCGCAACCCUCGACCUUAGUUGCCAGCAUUCAGUUGGGCACUCUAAGGUGACUGCCGGCUAAAAGUCGGAGGAAGUGGGGAUGACGUCAAAUCAUCAUGCCCUUAUGACCUGGGCUACACACGUGCUACAAUGGGCGGUACAAAGGGUCGCGAACCCGCGAGGGGGAGCCAAUCCCAAAAAGCCGCUCUCAGUUCGGAUUGCAGGCUGCAACUCGCCUGCAUGAAGCCGGAAUCGCUAGUAAUCGCGGAUCAGCAUGCCGCGGUCGAAUACGUUCCGGGCCUU